rnacentral:rRNA from 1 species
GAUGAACGCUGGCGGCGUGCCUAAUACAUGCAAGUCGAGCGAACAGACGAGGAGCUUGCUCCUCUGACGUUAGCGGCGGACGGGUGAGUAACACGUGGAUAACCUACCUAUAAGACUGGGAUAACUUCGGGAAACCGGAGCUAAUACCGGAUAAUAUAUUGAACCGUAUGGUUCAAUAGUGAAAGACGGUUUUGCUGUCACUUAUAGAUGGAUCCGCGCCGCAUUAGCUAGUUGGUAAGGUAACGGCUUACCAAGGCAACGAUGCGUAGCCGACCUGAGAGGGUGAUCGGCCACACUGGAACUGAGACACGGCCCAGACUCCUACGGGAGGCAGCAGUAGGGAAUCUUCCGCAAUGGGCGAAAGCCUGACGGAGCAACGCCGCGUGAGUGAUGAAGGUCUUCGGAUCGUAAAACUCUGUUAUUAGGGAAGAACAAAUGUGUAAGUAACUAUGCACGUCUUGACGGUACCUAAUCAGAAAGCCACGGCUAACUACGUG